AUUGAACGCUGGCGGCAGGCCUAACACAUGCAAGUCGAGCGGAUGAGAGGAGCUUGCUUCUCGAUUCAGCGGCGGACGGGUGAGUAAUGCCUAGGAAUCUGCCUGGUAGUGGGGGACAACGUUUCGAAAGGAACGCUAAUACCGCAUACGUCCUACGGGACAAAGCAGGGGACCUUCGGGCCUUGCGCUAUCAGAUGAGACUAGGUCGGAUUAGCUAGUUAGUGAGGUAAUGGCUCACCAAGGCGACGAUCCGUAACUGGUCUGAGAGGAUGAUCAUGCAAACUGUAACUGAGACACGGUCCAGACUCCUACGGGAGGCAGCAGGGGGGAAUAUUGGACAAUGGGCGAAAGCCUGAUCCAGCCAUGCCGCGUGUGGGAAGAAGGUCUUCGGAUUGUAAAGCACUUUAAGUUGGGAGGAAGGGUUGUAGAUUAAUACUCUGCAAUUUUGACGUUACCGACAGAAUAAGCACCGGCUAACUCUGUGCCAGCCGCCGCCGUAAUAC
rnacentral:rRNA from 1 species